GUGGCGGAGUCCGAACAGUGAGGAGCCGGAUUGCAAACCCGGUCGCCGUGGGUGCGAAUCCCACCCGCCACUCCA
rnacentral:tRNA from 1 species